rnacentral:tRNA from 1 species
GUUGCCAUGGUGUAGUGGAAUCACAACUGUCUUACACACAGAAGGUCCCCAGAUCGAAACUGGGUAGCAACA